UUUCAAUGAUGAAAAAUCUAGGACUUGUUUCUCAAAACAUUCGUAGUGGCCGACUAAGAUCUUUCGCCUUCGCUAGGCUUGAGAGAUAGUAUUGCUUUAAUCCUUCCUUGGAUGUCUGAGAUA